rnacentral:rRNA from 1 species
CCUACGGGAGGCAGCAGUGGGGAAUAUUGGACAAUUUUGUGAAAGCCUGAUCCAGCCAUGCCGCGUGUGUGAAGAAGGUCUUCGGAUUGUAAAGCACUUUAAGUUGGGAGGAAGGGCAGUAAGUUAAUACCUUGCUGUUUUGACGUUACCGACAGAAUAAGCACCGGCUAACUCUGUGCCAGCAGCCGCGGUAAUACAGAUGGUGCAAGCGUUAAUCGGAAUUACUGGGCGCAAAGCGCGCGUAGGUGGUUCGUUAAGUUGGAUGUGGGAGGGCCGGGAACAACCUGGGAACUGCAUCCAAAACUGGCGAGCUAGAGUACGGUAGAGGGUGGUGUAAUUUCCUGUGUAGCGGUGAAAUGCGUAGAUAUAGGAAGGAACACCAGUG